AUUUGUCAGAGAGUGAAACUCUAUAGAGACAUUGUAGCUCCUGUGUUCAUCAACAUGGGAUAAGGGACUGGGGAUGCCCUGAGCAGGCUGCCCCCCAACACUGUGAGCUACCAUCUCCCCUCAAGAACCAAUCUGGUUGCUUGUGCAGUACACAAAUGUGGCCCUGAGUGUCUGAAGGCAGUUCAUAUGGGAGCCUUUGUGAAUAUAAAGGUUCCCAUACAAUCCGGAACCCCAAUUGUUUGGUAUUCCAGAUUCCAUAUUUAUGAACAUGGGAGCUAUAAGGUCUGAGUCAGGCUUGAUUCUUUAUAUACAGGUACACCGUUUCCCUUCCUUAUUCUGCACACUACAUAGGAACACAGGAAGCUCACUUAGAUCACUGUUCCACGCGGCUCACAGGAGCUCUCCAAGGUCUCAGACAGGAAACAUUCCUAGCCCCACCUGGAGAUGCCAAGGGAUUAACCUGGGGCCUCCUGCAGGCAUGGUAUCAGCAGCGACUAGUGUGGUGGACCAGAGACAAAGAGAUGCCCAUCUGACGCCAACAGCACCACAGAUUAUCUGUAUGGGGAUACGAUGCAGUGGGACAGUGAGGAGGUCAGGAGCAUGGGAUUGGCUCCACCAGUGCACCCACACAGUUCCUGACCUCAUUACUGCUCUGGCCCCAUUCAAGCCCCACUCAAGUAAACUGUACCACUGCCAAGCCAGGAGAGUGAUCACGGUGAGGGUUUGCCAAGUGUGCCUUCCUCUUAGCACGUUUCACCUUUUUGUCCUGAGUUUGAGCGUCUUCAAAGCCUAUGACACCUUUGAUAAAGGCUGUUCACCAAUUGGCCAGUAUUUCCCAGUUGUCGGUGUUUAUACUACAUUUUUUUUAGAUGUGCCUUGAGAGAGUCUUUGAACCUCUUUGGUUGACCACCAGCAUUACACUUACCAUUUUAAAUUCGGAAUAGUGUAGUUGCUUUGGAAGACGAUAAUCAGGCAUCCGCACAACAUGACCAGUCCAACGUGGACCACUUAUAAACACCAUCUCCAACUCCUUGAAAGAUUCCAUCAACAAUGUUUCCGAAAAAAAUUUACACAUCACCUGGGAAGACAGACAAACUAAUGCCACUGUACUGGAAGAACCGUAUAGAUCAGGGUGGGUAUAGGUGGGUAUCAGAGCCCAGAUCUAUACCCACUCUUGUUCUUAACUACGUUUUCCUUGGAUAUUACCCAAUGGAGUAAUAUCAUAUCAGUGAAACAUCAUGUUUCCUCCUAUCAACAUCUUUUUGACCCAACAUCUAAAUGAAGGGAUAUUUUUAUUGCCAUCUUUAAGGCCCCAGCCCAGCCAAAACCAAAAGCCUCUGAUAUGAUCUGCAAUCAUCCGUCAACAAUCUCGCAAAGAGCCAAUCUGGCUGCUUAAGUGGUACAAAAAUAUGGCUCUGGGUUUUUGGCAUUUCUUUUAAAAAAAAAAAUAAAUAAACACACAUAUUUGUCAGGUUAUCGCAUGGAAUAACUUCUCUAUGGCUGAAAACAGAAGUUUUCAGCAGAAACUGCAACUCAUCCUUAACUAUGCGGAUGUGAACAUUCUGUUCUAAUAUGUAUGGUAAAAAGUUAUAAAAUUGGCGGGACUGAACGUUUAACUGCCGUAACUGGGUAUUAACAGACAAUAAACCGCACAUCAUUUAUAGAAAACUCAGCUGGUUAUAAAUUCCAGGAUUUAUGGCCAUUUUAUAGCAUCUAUAAUGAAUAUGAAGCUGUGAUUUUGCAUUCAAAUUAGGCAUGUAAGAAGCCAUUCAGAGAACUGUUUACUGUUUUCAUUAACACCGGGCUUGCAUCCCCCAUUCACUACUGCUUGGAGAUUGCGUUGGGGGACAGCCUGCAACCUUCGCAGACUUCCCUACUUCCUUAUAAUCCCUCCAUCAGUUACCAGAUGUUCGUGACAACUAAAUCAUAUCUAUAGCACCAGCUGCUCUGUUUUUCAGUCCAUUGUCCAAAUUACAAGGCUCAAUGAGGUAUGGAAGGAGACACAGCGUCUUUAGGGAGCACUUCUUGCAGUUUCAAGAAGAGCUUCAGGGGAAGACAUGAGAUGUACCCAACCCUUCCAUCACCUCCUAAAUGUUCUCUAGCCCACCUUGCGUCUGUGGUUAGCCGUUAGGCAGACAGCAAGAUGCAGAGCCAAUUGAGGUGGGGCAGGAGGGGUAUUUGGUCUGGGGUCUGAAGCUGAAAGGGGGCUUCCAAUUGGACACUUACCCUUUUGGUAUGUUUUACAACUUGGUCAUCAGGCCAAAUUGUGACACAAUUGUUCAGAUUACAGCUGCAAACUUAAACAAAUAAGUGGUGUGAUUUGGUAAAAGACUUCAUUUUGUUUUUCAACUGUUGUCGUCAGAUGUUUAAUAUCAAAUGUGGCAUUGCAUAAAUAUGAGGUUUUAUUUGCACAGAGAAAGCCUAUAAAUGCUCUUGUUACAUAAUAAAAGAAUAAAAUUACACAUAUACCCCGUCUUGGGCCUUAUUUUGUUUUUGUGUGCUGCCACUUUUUAUUUUUAUUAUGGAGACUUCUCCGUUAAGUGAAAUACCAAGCAGUUUUUAAAUAAUAAUUAAAAAAUCCCAUCCCCCAAAUCUCAAAGCUGCACCCUUUCCAAUUCCAUACACUCUUCUGAAAUCCAUUUAGAUGUAUGUGAGGCUCCUCCUGGAGACAUUUAUAUCUAUCCCUCGUUCUCUGGAACAAGGGAAAACACAAGAUGGGUGUGCAACAGAUUGCACAAGAAGCAACUGUCUGCUCAGCAACCUUCCACUAAUACAACUGCUGUGUUGGAUUCCUUUGUUGAGUAACCUCCAAACUCUGUCCUCCGUUUCUGCAAGGGGUCUUGUGCUAGUAGACAGAGAACAUUGCCUACAACCCAUAGUUCCUGCCACAGGGCAACUGAAAUGCCCUUUCUGCCUACUUUUUUCCCCCUUGGCUAUGAGCUGCAUGGAAAAUAGGUCAAGCAUUUGUGGCAGGUUGUCAUAUAUCUUGCCAGCAGUGCUCAGGAAACAAGCCCUGUGAACACAAAUGGAAUAGCUUUGUAUUUUCAAUGCAUGCAGCAAGUCUUCCCGAGUACCUAAUAUUUUCUCUCUCAAUUCACUUUCAUUAGGUUCAUCCUGGGGUGACUGACUAAUCCAGCUCUCAAUAAAUACAGCAAAAGUGACACAGCUAAAGAGAUGCAAAUUUUCUGUAAUCAGAUAGAUAUUUAUUCACAUAAAUCUGAAGGGUGUUAAACUUUAUUAUUUCACAAGCAGCCCCCAUGAGAAAAUGCACAAUGCGGGAUUUGGAUGACCCAUCCAUGGUACGUCCUGGUAAGGACCAGAAGUUGCUUUCUGCAGUGAAAAUUACUUCCCAGACGAUUUCCUGCUUCUGCUGUACAGCGAAGGUCACCAUGACAUGAUACUCUCCAUCUCUUGACUGUUUGCUCAUUGUUUUAAGCUGUCUUUACAUGUUUAUAUUUCGAACAUUACCAACUGUUCGGCUC